UACGUAGGGGGCAAGCGUUGUCCGGAAUCAUUGGGCGUAAAGAGCGUGUAGGCGGCCCGAUAAGUCCGCUGUGAAAGUCCAGGGCUCAACCCUGGAAUGCCGGUGGAUACUGUCGGGCUCGAAUCCGGAAGAGGUGAGUGGAAUUCCCGGUGUAGCGGUGAAAUGCGCAGAUAUCGGGAAGAACACCCGUGGCGAAGGCGGCUCUCUGGGACGGUACUGACGCUGAGACGCGAAAGCGUGGGGAGCGAACAGG
rnacentral:rRNA from 1 species